GUUUUAUUAUGAGCAUUAAUUUCAUGAAUAUGUCUUACAAAAAUAGCAUGAUUAUGAAGCAUGAAUUUCAUUAUUUUUCUAUUUAUGUAUAUCUAUGUUUUAAGAAAAAGAUAAAAUGAUUUCAAAGGCUCUUAGAUAGCUAUGAAUGAAUCUCUUCGAGAAGAUCGACAUCCGGAGCUAGCAUCCACACAAAACAUGGCCCUGCC
rnacentral:lncRNA from 1 species